rnacentral:rRNA from 1 species
CAUCGUUGCCCAUGUGCCUUGGCCAUGUGCUAGGCACCGAUCAGGGCGAAUGUUGGCUUCCCGUGAGCAGUGUCUCACGGUUGGUUGAAAAUUGAGUCCGCGGUGGAGGGCACCGUGAUGAAUGGUGGCUGAGUUAAAGCUCGAGACCGGUCGUGCGUGUCACCCCCACUAGCUUUGUGACUCUGUGACCCAUGUGGUCUGUUGGCUGCCUAAGACGGGA